GUCCUGUGGCUGAGGGCAUCCCUGGAGGGAGCUCCUCUGAUCCCCCCACCCCCCAGGAUAGAAGUGCCUUUAUCAGAGUUACUGAUGGCGUCAUCGCCCUACUGGAACCAGAUGCCCUCACCAACCUCCAUGCAAUUGAAGAUGAUGGAGAAACAUUGUCUGCAGCAUUUGACAGGGAAGAGGAAAGGCCUAUUGAGGUUAACAC